rnacentral:rRNA from 1 species
CCUACGGGGAGCAGCAGUGAGGAAUAUUGGUCAAUGGGCGGGAGCCUGAACCAGCCAAGUCGCGUGAGGGAAGACGGUCCUAUGGAUUGUAAACCUCUUUAGGCGGGGAGCAAUGCCGGGCACGUGUCCCCGGAUGAGUGUACCUGAAGAAAAAGCAUCGGCUAACUCCGUGCCAGCAGCCGCGGUAAUACGGAGGAUGCGAGCGUUAUCCGGAUUUAUUGGGUUAAAAGGGUGCGCAGGCGGGCUGUUAAGUCAGCGGUCAAAGCCCGGGGCUCAACCCCGGCCCGCCGUUGAAACUGGCAGUCUCGAGUUGGAGAGAAGUAUGCGGAAUGCGCGGUGUAGCGGUGAAAUGCAUAGAUAUCGCGCAGAACUCCGAUUGCGAAGGCAGCAUGCCGGCUCCACACUGACGCUGAGGCACGAAAGCGUGGGUAUCGAACAGGAUUAGAUACCCUUGUAGUC